rnacentral:rRNA from 1 species
UACGUAGGUGGCAAGCGUUGUCCGGAUUUAUUGGGUUUAAAGGGUGCGUAGGCGGCCCUGUAAGUCAGCGCUGAAAUAUCCCGGCUUAACCGGGAGGGUGGCAUUGAUACUGCAGGGCUUGAGUAAAGUUGAGGUUGGCGGAAUUGACGGUGUAGCGGUGAAAUGCGUAGAGAUCAGGAAGAACACCAGUGGCGAAGGCGCUCUGCUAGGCCGUAACUGACACUGAGGGACGAAAGCUAGGGGAGCGAAUGGG